rnacentral:rRNA from 1 species
AAUAGAUACCCAGGUAGUCCACGCCGUAAACGAUGAGUGCUAAGUGUUAGAGGGUUUCCGCCCUUUAGUGCUGCAGCUAACGCAUUAAGCACUCCGCCUGGGGAGUACGGCCGCAAGGCUGAAACUCAAAGGAAUUGACGGGGGCCCGCACAAGCGGUGGAGCAUGUGGUUUAAUUCGAAGCAACGCGAAGAACCUUACCAGGUCUUGACAUCCUCUGCCAACCCUAGAGAUAGGGCGUUCCCCUUCGGGGGACAGAGUGACAGGUGGUGCAUGGUUGUCGUCAGCUCGUGUCGUGAGAUGUUGGGUUAAGUCCCGCAACGAGCGCAACCCUUGAUCUUAGUUGCCAGCAUUCAGUUGGGCACUCUAAGGUGACUGCCGGUGACAAACCGGAGGAAGGUGGGGAUGACGUCAAAUCAUCAUGCCCCUUAUAACCUGGGCUACACACGUGCUACAAUGGAUGGUACAAAGAGCUGCGAACCCGCGAGGGUAAGCGAAUCUCAUAAAGCCAUUCUCAGUUCGAA